CUUGAACGCUGGCGGAAGGCCUAACACAUGCAAGUAGAGCGGAGCGGCGGACGGGUGAGUAAUGCCUAGUAAUCUGCCUGGUAGUGGGGGAUAACGUCCGGAAACGGGCGCUAAUACCGCAUCCUAUCAGAUGAGCCUCGGGGGGAUUAGCUAGGUGGUGGGGUAAAGGCCUACCACGGCGACGAUCAGUAACUGGUCUGAGAGGAUGAGCAGUAACAAUGGAACUGAGACACGGUCCAGACUCCUACGGGAGGCAGCAGGUGGGAAUAUUGGACAAUGGGCUAAAGCCUGAUCCAGCCAUGCCGCGUGUGUGAAGAAGGUCUUCGGAUUGUAAAGCACUUUAAGUUGGGAGGCGUUACCAACAGAAUAAGCACCGGCGAACUACGUGCCAGCAGCCGCGGUAAUAC
rnacentral:rRNA from 1 species